rnacentral:sRNA from 2 species
AUGCGUUAGCGAUAGGAGUGAUAUCCUUUUUUGAUGUGUAACGUAAAAAAAGAUUUAACGGAUAGCGCGACCUGAA